UUUGGCGUUACCAUGGCGCUCUCUAGCGGGUCUUUACACAUAAACACUUGAUAAAAAGCUUCAUCUGCUGAAGAACAACACGAGCAAACCUUCUGAUAACUGACGCUCGGGGACACAGCUGUAUUAUUGUAGCUAGCUAGCUAUGAGCUACCGUGAAGCUACAGGUUAUAUAAAGCCGGCGUCGGCCUCACACCAACAAAGAGCAGUGUGGCCAAGCGAGAGCGAAAUCCUCCUCAACUUCCGGUACCGCUCUGAAGUGUUGCAUACCAGCUGACCGACCGUACAGCGGAUAAUAUUGACGUUAUACUUAACAGCCGAGGGACAAAGCAUGGGAGUGCAUUUGCAGAGCCGCACUACCUGCAUACAUCCAGCAGGCAGAGGAAGAGUUCUGCCACUUGCUCCUUCAAUUCAUUCCUGCAAGCAAUACCUCAUCCAGAUGAUGGUCGAGUGCGGUGCUGGACAAAGGUGUUAUUGGCCGUGUGCUCGGAAAACCUUCGGAUCCGACACCGCAGACUUGAGAAAAGCAGAGCGGCUUAUGAGCGCUGACCGGCCCCGAGUGGUUAUUGUUAUGUUUGGACCCACCGAGCGGAGAGAGCACCGGCUCCUGAGUGGGCGUGUGGUUGCCCCCCCCCAUUUGCCACCAUGCGAGGAGGCCCAGGUGCCUGCUUUUUUUUCCAGAGGCCACAGUGGAAACGGAGCCGUUAAGACGGCAUUCAAGCCGUCGGUAUGAGCCGAGUCAGCCCGUUUCCGCUGUGAUCAAAUAAAAGCUCAGCGAUUCGGGGAAGCAGAGCGACCCGUCAGCACAUCCUUCAAUGUGGACGUCCCCGCCGCAGGCCAUCGACCCACUGGCGCGGUGACAGGAGCAAGAGGCUGAGCACUGAGCAUCUCCAGCUGCAGCGAUGCUUCUCGGAACUGACACCGAACAACAAACGCCAAAUGUCCUCAGAAGCACAAUUGAACGCCAGCAGGAAACGGCCGUUCUUGUGAAACCGUUCCAUGCUGGAAUGAUCACUAGCGCAUUCCGAUGGUAAGGCUGCGAUAGGUGGAAGGCAGGAGAACGCAACGUGGGAAACAGAAUUGCUUCAGCGCCUCUUCAAAACACCGCAACGCAGUCUGGGGUUGACAUCACCACCUGUGUCUUUAAACUAAAGUACAGGGUGUGAGCAGCUUGUCGCUGGCGCAACUGACACGUCGCCAGCAUCCGAGGAGGUUGCGCUGUGAUCCAACGGGAAAGGCGGGUGAUACUGGUCUCUUUGAUCAGACCGGAGAGUUUCUUUUGAACAACAGUUGCGCUUUGUAGCUGCUAUUUAACACAAGGAACAUUUUUUGGUGCCUGUUCAGUGAUUUCCUGCUAUUGUGUUUUUGUGACUUUGUGACUAGUGUUAACAUUUAUUUCAUGUGCACGAAGUAGCAGCUUAUCCUUCGAACGAUAGUCACAUUGUUUGUAUAACGCCCUCCUCUAGUGAGUCACUGUGGGUGUUUCGCGUCAAACCGAAGUCUUUCACCUGAUGUACAUUGUGCUUCAUUUGUGAGAAAAAGGGAGUGGCUCAAGAAUUGCCAAGAGCUGAGUCAUCCGCUGCAAAAAUAUAGCCUUUUAUUUCCUAAAGCAUCUUAAGAGGUGUAGUUUGUGUGCAUAUAGCGUUGCUUCAUUAAAACAUGAGGUUUGUUUGUUGUGUCCACACACUGGCCUGUUUACCUCCCCCCACCGGGACCCAGUCUUUCUGAGGCCCCUAACCAAUGUGAGGUACUGAGCCAGAUCCCAAACAUAAACUCCAACCCCAGCCACGGAAGAGUUCUGCUCUGGUUGGGCCUCGGGCCCUCAGGACACACAGAGCCAUCUUUU
ensembl:lncRNA